rnacentral:rRNA from 1 species
UACGAAGGGGCUAGCGUUGCUCGGAAUCACUGGGCGUAAAGGGUGCGUAGGCGGGUCUUUAAGUCAGGGAUGAAAUCCUGGAGCUCAACUCCAGAACUGCCUUUGAUACUGAAGAUCUUGAGUUCGGGAGAGGUGAGUGGAACUGCGAGUGUAGAGGUGAAAUUCGUAGAUAUUCGCAAGAACACCAGUGGCGAAGGCGGCUCACUGGCCCGAUACUGACGCUGAGGCACGAAAGCGUGGGGAGCAA